rnacentral:lncRNA from 1 species
CCAGCUGGAGGGGAUACUCGGGAGGAAGAACGGCAGGCCCCAGCCCUUCUUUCCCGACAGCCACGCCGCCCACUUGGCGGCGGGGAGUCGCUCCGCAGCCGGCCCGGAGCUCGCCCGUGCAACUGAAAACUGCGUCCGUCGGGAGCUAGGGUGCCUGGCGUCCCGCGUUCCGCCCUCUUGCGCCGCCCUUACAGUGCCUCCUCCUCGAGGCCAAAUGCCCGGCCGCUCAGCGCUCGUGGCAGCCGCGUAGUUGCAGAGACACGGUCUGCUUUCCAGGCUUGGGAAGUCCCAGCACUUAACUCUGCGCGUCGGUGUCGCUCGUUUGCCAGCCAGACUAUAAAGUGCACCCAACGGUGUAUGCGUCUCUUUACUUCCGGGUGUAACGUACUACCCAGCCAGGCCCUUUCCCUUGCUGUGCUUUGGAACCUGGAAAUUACAAACCCUAAUAAAUUCUGAAGUCUGUC